AUACGGAGGAUGCAAGCGUUAUCCGGAUUUAUUGGGUUUAAAGGGUGCGUAGGCGGUUUGCUAAGCGGGAGGUGAAAUGCCGGCGCUCAACGUCGGAAGUGCCUCCCGAACUGGUGGACUGGAAUGACUCUGCCGUGGGAGGAAUGUGUAGUGUAGCGGUGAAAUGUUUAGAGAUUACACAGAACACCGAUUGCGAAGGCAUCUCACGAAGGGUUGAUUGACGCUGAGGCACGAAAGCGUGGGGAUCAAACAGGAUUAGAUACCCUGGUAGUCCACGCAGUAAACGAUGAUGGCUAACCGCUGGGCUUAUCAGUUCAGUGGCCAAGCGAAAGCGAUAAGCCAUCCACCUGGGGAGUACGACCGCAAGGUUGAAACUCAAAUGAAUUGGCGGGG
rnacentral:rRNA from 1 species